AAUAAGUGUAGUUUUGCACUGUUCAUGUCUAACGUUUGACCGUUCGUCUUAUUUGAAAAUUUUUUACGAUUAAUAUUUUUGUUGUUAUUAGAUAAUAAAACAUGAAUAGUAUUUUAUGUGUGACUUACUUUUUUUAAUUUUCUUAUAAAUUUUUCAAAUAAGACGGACGGUCAAAGACACGAAUUUCUACUGCACUUAUU
rfam:Oryza sativa (indica cultivar-group) chromosome 11, whole genome shotgun sequence.